AGCGUCCGUUGUGUUUCAUUGUUUCAUGUCGCGUGUGAUGUGCUGUGCGGUGUGCAACAUGUGCCCGAAAUCCGAUCCAAUGCAGAGAUGGUUAUGGCGAACGUGAAGAACGCUUAAGGAUGAUGAUCGAAGACGUCUACAGCCGCAGAGAUAGUGAUAGCGUGCAAAGUUCGGUGAAGUUUACACUUACAUGUGGUGCAGAUGAUUUAUACCCAUACGUGAGGAUGGAACAUUGAUGGACGAUCGAACAGAGUAAUUGUUCAAUGGUGCUCGACUGCGCGCUGAUCCCAACGAACCGGAAGACAAGGAACGCUUCCGGUUGCCAUUGGAGACAACAUUGUGCGAGGCGUGCGAGUAAAGUGGUUUUUCCACAACCACCUGGACCAUAAAUGACCAAAGGUGGAUACUUUAUAACUAUCAUAUCCGGGAAUCAUGGAGUCAAAAUCCAUACAUUUGACCAGACAUCGAGAGACUGAAGAGGAAUUCAAGAUUUACUAAAUGCGUUUUCAGUACAAUAUGGUUUGUAUGGUUUAACGUUUUAACGAGACCUUACGGAUAUCUUGGACCAGCUGUGAACUGCAUGCUUCUUCCAGAAGGAUUCGAUAGAAAAUGGUAAUAUCCGGUAAAGCAAGAAACAUCUUCAACGAUUUCAAUGAUUCUAUUAAAUUUUGACCGGCCAAGAGGUAUUUAUUUAUUUUAAUUUUGCAAGGUUUAGUGUUACACUUAUGACACUGUAACACUGAAAUGAAAAUUAGUAUAAGUAUACUGGCAUAUUAACGUGUUUUGUAAAGUAUAAAGUAUGCUUUUCAAACAACAUGUGUGUUAACUAAGCCUCGGUAGGUUGACGCAAUCGACACAAUUAUACAUAAAAUAUAAUACAUAAAACAUAAAUAUAUAAAGUUUUACAUUUGUUUUUAUUAAAUUAAUGGUAUAACUUAAAUAAUUAUUUAUUUCAAUUUUCGAUGAGUAGUGUUAUAAAUGUAUCACUGUAGUACUGAAAUGGAAAUAAGUAUAAGUUUACUUACAUAUUAACGUGUUUUAUUAAGUGUAAAGUACGCUUUAUAAACAACAUGUGAGUUAACUAAGCUUCGGGAGGGUGACCCAAUCGACACAAUUAUACACAAAAUAUACCUAAUACAUAAACCAUAAAUAUGUAAAGUUUCACAUUUGUUUUUAUUAAAUUAUUGUAAUAACUUAUAUAAUCAUUUAUUUCAAUUUUACGAUGUGUAGUGUUAUAAAUGUAUCACUGUUGCACUGAAAUGGAAAUAAGUGGUAUUUUACUGUCCUACAUACAUAUAAAGUAUGAGUAACCUUUACAAAAACACCAAUUAUUUAAUUAACUAAGGUAUACAGUAAACUUUUACGAAGACUCAAUCUUAUUACAUCCCAAAGCCAAUAAAUUCUUUUCGUAUGCCGAGAAAUAUUGAAAGUAACAGUAAAUUUCGUGUAUGUGUAUUUCAACAUUGUGAAUUUUUAGUUUCGUCUUCUCAACUACAUGUUUAUCAGUACGAUUGUGUAUAAACAACUUUUUUUUGUUCGACGGACUCGUGAUAUCGCUGCAUACCUGCCUUGUACCCGGCUGCGCGCAGCGCACACGGCAGUUGUUUCACCGCGUGGUCCGCGAGCGUGUCUCUCUAAUCGUCACGCGUUUUGAGGUUUUAAUUGUAUUAAUCGUCGUGUAUUCUUUCGGCCAUCGGCAAUAUAUUCGCAAUGGGCAUGUGUGCCUGUUUCGUUUAAUGAUUUAUGGCGGUUAGAUUCUUCUUUUGUUAGAAAUAAGUGUCCGUUAAUCCCCGCGCGAGUUUUCAGUUGAUAGAAUAUAUUACAGGAUAAAAAAUCUCCUCAUCAAUGCACAGGUGUGGGGGAUAAUUAAAAUUUUUUGCGGAAAGUUAAGGCGGUUUAACUUAUAGUGGCAUGCUUGAUUUAAUUAUUACAAGCACGGUUUUUACAAUUCAUGUGGUCGAUCACGCUUACUUUGCCGUCGGCCGUCGGUUCGGUCAUGCUUUCGAUGAUCACGUAAACAUUUUUAAUCGAAUUGCAUCAUUAAAUUAAUAAUUUCUUGGUGAAAUAAAAUCUUGAACGGUGAAUAGUUCUUCGUGUUCACAGUCUCAGUAUAUCUUAAUAUUUAUAAAGAAAUAGUUAUUUUUAUCGUCUUUAACCACUGUGUUGCUACGCGCCGUCGCUUGCCGUCUGUUGAUUUAGGUAUUUUCCGCCGGAUAUUCUAUCAAUUUGUAAUGAUGCUUCGCCCGUCGGCUACUUUAUACAGUUGAUGCUACCGUCAAUUAAUAAAUAUACAUUUAGAAUAUAUUAAAAUGUAAGUGUUUUAUUUUUGUAGCACCUUCAAUUUUUCGAUGUUUUUCGGGUAAAAUCUCUGAUUUUAUAUUAAUAUAUUGUUGUUAAUUGGUAAAUUUCCCUCUUCAUAUUGUGAAUAUUGACUCCUUUUGUAGUUUCUAAAAUUUUCUUUUCGUAACACCCUGUAUAUUAGCUUUCUUUGUGUUCGUGAAAAUUUUGCUGUCGUUUUUAGUAUUUUCCCGUUUGCACUUUGAAUUUUCUUUCUGGAACACCCUAUAUAUUAGUUUCCCUGAUCGUCGAGUGAAAACGAGCGGCGUUUGUAGUGUUGAGAGUUUUUUGUUUGCACUUUAAAUUUACCUUUUGUAACACCCUGUAUAUUUGUUUCCAUUUUCAAUCACCUAGAGAAUUGGCUAUUUACUAAUUUCAUUAUUCAGGUCAUAAGUCCUGUUUCAAUAUGGCGGUAUUUUGUUGACUUGUAAAAUAUAAACUUGUAUUCUAUUGUUAAUAAAGAAAUAGUAAAAUAUA